rnacentral:lncRNA from 1 species
UUCCUUAGAUCUUCAUCCAACGGCCCGCUAGGUUGGAUGAAGAUCUAAGGAACAAAAAUUAUUAAAUAUUUUAUAUAUUGUAUAAAUAAACAAAAAUAAAUUACGUAUAUAUAUAAUUUAUUCGGGUUUGGAUUCGGAUAAUAUUUCGUAUAUCCAUAUCUAUUGACAUCCCUACUUCUUAUUCCACUUUUCAAUAUACGUAUCAAAAAAUACGUACUAAACACGGUGAACCAUUCACCGUGUUUGAACACGGUGAACCAUUCACCGU